ACCUGCCGGUUGAGAUUUACUCCUUUUAAUGAUUUUACGACCUUCAUCAAUUGUUACAUAUCCCUUUUCUCUUUUACUUUCGAAACUGCUGUAUCCCUUUUCGUAUUCUUCGUCCAUUUUUGUAGUUUCUAACGGUAUUUAUACUAACAAAAUACUGUUCAUAUCGAAGACCAUAAUUUUUACUGUUAUUGAAAAUCACUUUUCC
rnacentral:lncRNA from 1 species